rnacentral:rRNA from 1 species
GACGUAGGGGGCCAGCGUUGCUCGGAAUGACUGGGCGUAAAGAGUCUGUAGGCGGUGCGGCAAGUCGGGAGUGAAAUCUCAGGGCUUAACUCUGAGUCUGCUUUCGAAACUGCCGUGCUCGAGUGUGGGAGAGGUGAGUGGAAUUGCAGGUGUAGCGGUGAAAUGCGUAGAUAUCUGCAGGAACACCAGAGGCGAAGGCGGCUCACUGGACCACAACUGACGCUGAGAGACGAAAGCUAGGGGAGCAAACAGG